GAUGAACGCUGGCGGCGUGCCUAAUACAUGCAAGUCGAGCGAAUGGAUUAAGAGCUUGCUCUUAUGAAGUUAGCGGCGGACGGGUGAGUAACACGUGGGUAACCUGCCCAUAAGACUGGGAUAACUCCGGGAAACCGGGGCUAAUACCGGAUAACAUUUUGAACCGCAUGGUUCGAAAUUGAAAGGCGGCUUCGGCUGUCACUUAUGGAUGGACCCGCGUCGCAUUAGCUAGUUGGUGAGGUAACGGCUCACCAAGGCAACGAUGCGUAGCCGACCUGGCGGGGUGGUAGGCCACCCUGGGACGGAAACACGGCCCAGACUCCUACGGGAGGCAGCAGUAGGGAAUCUUCCGCAAUGGACGAAAGUCUGACGGAGCAACGCCGCGUGGGUGAGGAAGGCUUUCGGGUCGUAAACCUCUGUUGUUAGGGAAGAACAAGUGCUAGUUGAAUAAGCUGGCACCUUGACGGUACCUAACCAGAAAGCCACGGCUAACUACGUGCCAGCCGCCGCAGUAA
rnacentral:rRNA from 1 species